UGAACAUUUUCACUGUGUUAAAUUACAUUUUACACAGAAAUGUUUACAUGUUUAUCUGUCUGUUAUAAUGAAUCACAUCAAUAAUCCUGACUGUGAUCAGAGCUGGUAUCUACAGGACGGGCGUCUGAUAGCAGAUCCAUCAGAUCCUCAAACACUGAUUGAUCCUGUGAUUUCUGUCUCGUCUGAUCGUCUCGUCACGUCUCGCUGUGUGAAUCUGACUCAUGAGAUCAUCUGUCAUUCUGUUGGAUUAAAAUAUCAGACUGCCUUCAGAGUGUUUAAUGACACAGACUCCUUCAGCGGAUCGACUCAAACUCCAGAAUCACAUCAGUUGUGGUGGAUUUCUGCUCUGAUCUUCAUUGUUCUUCUGUCACACUGUUUUACAUGA
rnacentral:lncRNA from 1 species